AUCUUGUUUCGACCCACCUAUUACACCUCUUUGGCAUGGAUUAUAAGUACGAAUUGAAGUAUUGCAAGUACGGGUUGGAUUUUGGGCAAUUAAUUUUGAUUUUUGUUAAAUUGGAUUUUCUAGGGUUAACUUGGUCGCUCUCUCCCACCUUUCUUCUACCUUAAGUACUACAAUAGAUUCUUACUGAUGCAUGAAAACCUAAAUCAGCAUGUGAAGUCUUUGCUGUAGCUGGUCAAUAUUGUGUGACACUGAUGAUUCAAUAUAGUAAUAUAGUACACCUCGAUCCAUUUCUGUGGUGGAGAGCUACUAUAGGUGUUGAAGCUGGUGAAAAAUCUUGUUUAUUUGCCAUGUUUUUUCUUCAAAAUAUAAGAGCUUUUAAAGUGGAGUAUCAACUACUGCAUCAUCUUUCUUUUUUUGCAUGGAAUUGCCUAUAGUAAGAGUAAGAGAAAAGAAGAAUUGUGGUUGAUACUGCUUGAAUGAGAGAGAAACUGGAGAACAAAUUGGUCCAUUUACUUUUGUGUGCCGGCCAUCAGCAUGAUAAUAAUUACCAUUAGUAUUUUAUUUUGAUUAAAAUGUUACAUAGACUUAGUCCUUAAUUACUCUAGGAAGCACAAAAAGCUAAAAAAAGACAUGUUAAUCAAUGUGUAUUAUACACAAAACACAACCGUUUAGAGUUUGGUUGAAUAUUGAGUAAAGGUCCUUUUUGGUCCUCCUAAACAUAUGGCGAUUUUUUUUAUUUUGGUCCAAAACAUUAUCUUUUGAAUUAUUCGGUCCUUAACAUUUGAAAUCGGAUCACAUUUAGUCCGAAAUGGACGGGACUGUUAAAAUUUAACAUCGCCUCCGACCGCACCGCCCUCCUCUGGAACCUCUCCAGCCCACCCCCUGCGCCUGGCCCGGCGUCAACUGCUCCCCCGACAACUCCUCAGUCGUCGAGCUCCACUUCCCCGGAAUGGGCCUCUCCGGCGAGCUCCCCCCCAAAUCCUUCUCCAACAUGACCAAUUUGUAGACUCUCAGCCUCCGCUACAACGCCCUCUCCGGCCCCCUCCCGCCCUACCUCUUCACCUCCUUCCGCAAUCUCUACCUGCAGCACAAUUUCUUCACCGGCGAGCUUCCCCAAACCCUCUUCUCCCUCACCUCGCUGGUGCGGCUCAAUCUAGCGGAGAACAACUUCUUGGGCCCGAUUUCGCCGGGUUUCGCCAAUUUGACCAAGUUAGGAACUCUCUAUUUGCAGAAAAACCGCUUCUCCGGCCCGAUCCCCCCCUUAGAUCUGCCUGCCCUAGUUCAAUUCGACGUUUCCAGCAAUAACCUAACCGGCUCAAUCCCCAAUUCCCUUUCGAAAAACCCUAAAUCCUCCUUCCUCAGCAAUUCGCUCUGCGGCGAGCCUCUCAAUUCGUGCGGAAACGCUAAUCCGAAGAAGAAGAAGCUCUCCGCCGGAGCGAUUGCCGGCAUUGUGAUCGCCUCCGUCGUCGCGGUUUUCGUUGACCGUUAAAUUUUAACAGUUCCCAUUUCUGACUAAAUGUGAUCCGAUUUCAAAUGUGAGGGACCGAAUAAUUCAAAAGAUAAUGUUUUGGACCAAAAUAAAAAAAAUUGCCAUAUGUUUAGGACCAAAAGGACCUUUACUCUUGAAUAUUUUCCAUGGUGUUCAAGGUGCUUACAGGGAGUCUGCAGCCAAGAAAGCUUAUCCAAACUGUGGGGAUAUAUACCAUUGGUACUAUGUGAACAAUUUGACAGAACUUUUCGAGUGGCUAAAAUGGCCUUGGACUCCUCAAAAAGAUCAACUGCUCUUUCAGUAUAUCUCGUAGCAUGGUGAAGUCAGAUGAAGCUCUGUCUCUAAGUGCACAGGUUUGAAUAGGAGUGGGGAGAGCUAUAGGCUGAGGUGUGUGAAUUACUUGAGGCCUGGCCUUAAAAAGGGGCUGUUAACACCUCAAGAAGAAGAUUCUAAGCCUCGAAUAUACAGAUCAGACAUAGCAAACAAAGUGCACUCAUCAUUGAUAAAUUUGCUUAGACAGGUCACAGAUUGCUUGCUUUUGCUCGCCAGGACUUUGCUAUGGCAAGUUGGAAGCUUGUAUGUUGACAUCUAUAAUUUCGUCUCAUUAUGUUUGAGUUGGUUCCUUUGUUAUCAAUGAUAAAGAUGAGGUUGAAACAAAGAACUGGAAAUCAAGUGUCAGGUUCAAGGGCUCUCUGCUACCUCUUGAGCAAUGGAGUUUCAUGAAUGUAGCCUUGUUCCUGCUAAAUCUGUCAAGCGUCCUUCUAUCAAAGUUCGGAAGCAAUACUUUCUAUCAAAGCAAGCACUAUGAACCUGUUUGCGAAGUGAAGGACAAAUAGGUGUGAAUUAUGUCGAUAGGUUGGAGAUUGAGACUUCAACAAAAUAAUUAUUUCUAUUAGGAUAUUCGGACGAGGAGGAUCGUUGGGCGUGACACUGAGAACCAAGGGCUCUACUACGUGGACGAGGUAGCUUACCAUGGGAGUGCAAUGCUGGCUCGCGGAUCCACAAAAGAAGAGGUUGGCUGUGGCACAGAAGACUAGGAUACUCUUCCCAUGGUUAUUUUAAACUUUUGUUUCCCGAUUUUUUGUUGCCUAGAGAUUUUUCUUGUGAGACAUGUGUUUUGGCCAAGAGCCAGACACAAUCUUUUAAACAUUCUAAUGCCCGUAUGCAAUCUAUGUUUGAUUUGGUUCAUGUUGAUGUGUGGGGUCCUGCACCUGUUAUUGGGAGGAAUGGUUUUAGAUAUAACUGUACACGAAUGAAUUGGAUAUAUUUCUUGAAACAUAAAUCUGAGGUAGUUGAAAAUUUUA